CCCAGCUGGGAUAGCUCACUCUGUAGAGCAUGAGAUUCUUAAUCUCAGGGUUGCGGGUUAGAGCCCCACCGGGGGGU